AUGAACGCUGGCGGCGUGCCUAAUACAUGCAAGUCGAGCGAACAGACGAGGAGCUUGCUUCUCUGACGUUAGCGGCGGACGGGUGAGUAACACGUGGAUAACCUACCUAUAAGACUGGGAUAACUUCGGGAAACCGGAGCUAAUACCGGAUAAUAUAUUGAACCGCAUGGUUCAAUAGUGAAAGACGGUUUUGCUGUCACUUAUAGAUGGAUCCGCGCCGCAUUAGCUAGUUGGUAAGGUAACGGCUUACCAAGGCGACGAUGCGUAGCCGACCUGAGAGGGUGAUCGGCCACACUGGAACUGAGACACGGUCCAGACUCCUACGGGAGGCAGCAGUAGGGAAUCUUCCGCAAUGGGCGAAAGCCUGACGGAGCAACGCCGCGUGAGUGAUGAAGGUCUUCGGAUCGUAAAACUCUGUUAUUAGGGAAGAACAAAUGUGUAAGUAACUAUGCACGUCUUGACGGUACCUAAUCAGAAAGCCACGGCUAACUACGUG
rnacentral:rRNA from 1 species